CACCCAUCAAAAGCGCCAGAGCCUGUAAUGCAAUUGUACUUUACAGGAUGACGAGGAGAGGGAAGAAUCGAAAAUUCGGCGGAUGUCCCUCCGUAUCCCGCGGAUGCGUGACGCGGGCCUUGAAAUAUGCGGGUGACCGCAAAACAAAGAGGCCGCGGCCGCGGAGA
rnacentral:ncRNA from 2 species